CCCUAGCCGUGAUAGAAGUGGUAUCCUUUUUUGUCUCGUUUUUUCGAGACAAAAAAGAUACAAGCGGAUAGCAGGUAACAGC
rnacentral:sRNA from 1 species